rnacentral:rRNA from 1 species
CCUACGGGUGGCUGCAGUGGGGAAUAUUGGACAAUGGGCGAAAGCCUGAUCCAGCCAUGCCGCGUGUGUGAAGAAGGCCUUCGGGUUGUAAAGCACUUUCAGUGGGGAAGAAAGCCUUGGGGCUAAUACCCUCGAGGAAGGACAUCACCCACAGAAGAAGCACCGGCUGAACUCCGUGCCAGCAGCCGCGGUAAUACGGAGGGUGCGAGCGUUAAUCGGAAUUACUGGGCGUAAAGCGCGCGUAGGCGGUCUGAUAAGCCGGUUGUGAAAGCCCCGGGCUCAACCUGGGAACGGCAUCCGGAACUGUCAGGCUAGAGUGCAGGAGAGGAAGGUAGAAUUCCCGGUGUAGCGGUGAAAUGCGUAGAGAUCGGGAGGAAUACCAGUGGCGAAGGCGGCCUUCUGGACUGACACUGACGCUGAGGUGCGAAAGCGUGGGUAGCAAACAGGAUUAGAUACCCCAGUAGUC